rnacentral:rRNA from 1 species
UACGUAGGGCGCAAGCGUUGUUCGGAUUUACUGGGCGUAAAGGGCGCGUAGGCGGCGCGGUAAGUCACUUGUGAAAUCUCUGAGCUUAACUCAGAACGGCCAAGUGAUACUGCAGUGCUAGAGUGUGGAAGGGGCAAUCGGAAUUCUUGGUGUAGCGGUGAAAUGCGUAGAUAUCAAGAGGAACACCUGAGGUGAAGACGGGUUGCUGGGCCAACACUGACGCUGAGGCGCGAAAGCCAGGGGAGCAAACGGG